rnacentral:rRNA from 1 species
GAUGAACGCUGGCGGCGUGCCUAAUACAUGCAAGUCGAGCGAACGGACGAGAAGCUUGCUUCUCUGAUGUUAGCGGCGGACGGGUGAGUAACACGUGGUUAACCUACCUAUAAGACUGGGAUAACUUCGGGAAACCGGAGCUAAUACCGGAUAAUAUUUUGAACCGCAUGGUUCAAACGUGAAAGACGGUCUUGCUGUCACUUAUAGCUGGAUCCGCCCUGCAUUAGCUAGUUGGUGAGGUAACGGCUUACCAAGGCAACGAUGCAUAGCCGACCUGAGAGGGUGAUCGGCCAGCCUGGAAGUGAGACACGGUCGAGACACCGAGGGGGGGCAGCAGUAGGGAAUCUUACGCGAUGGACGAAAGCCGGACGGUGCAACGCCGCGUGAGGGAUGAAGGUCUUCGGAUCGUAAAACUCUGUUAUUAGGGAAGAACAUAUGUGUAAGUAACUGUGCACAUCUUGACGGUACCUAAUCAGAAAGCCACGGCUAACUACGUG